rnacentral:rRNA from 1 species
AGGACGAACGCUGGCGGCGUGCUUAACACAUGCAAGUCGAGCGGAAAGGCCCUUCGGGGUACUCGAGCGGCGAACGGGUGAGUAACACGUGAGUAAUCUGCCCCUAGCUCUGGGAUAGCUCCGGGAAACCGGGAUUAAUACCGGAUACGACCACCUUAGACAUCUUUUGUGGUGGAAAGAAUUUCGGCUAGGGAUGAGCUCGCGGCCUAUCAGCUUGUUGGUGGGGUAACGGCCUACCAAGGCGACGACGGGUAGCCGGCCUGAGAGGGCGACCGGCCACACUGGGACUGAGACACGGCCCAGACUCCUACGGGGGGCAGCAGUGGGGAAUAUUGCGCAAUGGGCGAAAGCCUGACGCAGCGACGCCGCGUGGGGGAUGAAGGCCUUCGGGUUGUAAACCCCUUUCAGCAGGGACGAAGCGAAAGUGACGGUACCUGCAGAAGAAGCGCCGGCUAACUACGUGCCAGCAGCCGC